rnacentral:rRNA from 1 species
GACGAACGCUGGCGGCGUGCCUAAUACAUGCAAGUAGAACGCUGAAGGAGGAGCUUGCUUCUCCGGAUGAGUUGCGAACGGGUGAGUAACACGUAGGUAACCUGCCUGGUAGCGGGGGAUAACUAUUGGAAACGAUAGCUAAUACCGCAUAAGAGUAGAUGUAGCAUGACAUUUGCUUAAAAGGUGCAACUGCACCACUACCAGAUGGACCUGCGUUGUAUUAGCUAGUUGGUGAGGUAACGGCUCACCAAGGCAACGAUACAUAGCCGCACUGAGAGGGUGAUCGGCCACACUGAGACUGAGACACGCCCCAGACUCCUACAGGAGGCAGCAGUAGGGAAUCUUCAGCAAUGGACGGAAGUCUGACCGAGCAACGCCGCGUGAGUGAAGAAGGUUUUCGGAUCGUAAAGCUCUGUUGUAAGAUAAGAACGAGUGUGAGAGUGGAAAGUUCACACUGUGACGGUAUCUUACCAGAAAGGGACGGCUAACUACGUG